UAGGGAAUUUUGCGCAAUGGGGGAAACCCUGACGCAGCAACGCCGCGUGAUCGAUGAAGCCCUUCGGGGUGUAAAGAUCUGUCAGUGGGGACGAAAUCUGACGGUACCCACAGAGGAAGNCCCGGCUAACUCCGUGCCAGCAGCCGCGGUAAUACGGGGGGUGCAAGCGUUGUCCGGAAUCAUUGGGCGUAAAGAGUUCGUAGGUGGCACGUAAAGUCUGGUGUUAAAGGCGGAAGCUCAACUUCCGUAGGGCACUGGAUACUGGCGAGCUAGAAUGCGGUAGAGGUAAAGGGAAUUCCUGGUGUAGCGGUGAAAUGCGUAGAUAUCAGGAGGAACAUCGGUGGCGUAAGCGCUUUACUGGGCCGUAAUUGACACUGAGGAACGAAAGCCGGGGUAGCAAAUGGG
rnacentral:rRNA from 1 species